AUAUCAGUCAUGCAUAGCAUAUCAAUAAGCGGAGGAAAAGAAACUAACUAGGAUUCCCUUAGUAACGGCGAGUGAAGCGGGAAGAGCUCAAAUUUGAAAUCUCCAAGGUUCUACCUUGACGAAUUGUAGUUUAAAGAAGUGUUUUCUGUUGGAGUUUUGGUAAAAGUUCUUUGGAAUAGGACAUCAUAGAGGGUGAGAAUCCCGUAUUUGACCAUUUCUUCCAGCUGUGUGAUACACUUUCAAAGAGUCGGAUUGUUUGGGAAUGCAGUCCAAAAUGGGUGGUAAAUUUCAUCUAAAGCUAAAUACUGGCGAGAGACCGAUAGCGAACAAGUACCGUGAGGGAAAGAUGAAAAGAACUUUGAAAAGAGAGUUAAACAGUACGUGAAAUUGUCAAAAGGGAAGCGUUUGACACCAGUGUUGUUUUCUCGAAAAUCAAUUAAAAAUGGUGGGAUUUUGUGUUGUAUUGACUUUAUCAGCUUUCUGCACUUUUUUCCUAUCUUUUUUAAUGCACUUUUCGUUUAACAAGUCAACAUCAAUUUCUUUUGUUGUAAAAGGGUCAUUGGAAGGUGGCUUUCUUUUCGGAGAAAGUGUUUAUAGCCUUUGGCCUCUGCAAUCGGAGAGAUUGAGGUCUGCAGCGUAGAUCCUUCGGGGUUAGAUACAUCUGUGCUAAGCUAUAGCCUUUCAUAGACAACUUGUUGACUAUGAUCAGUCAUGUAGCUUACUCGCUUAUGCUAUUUUACCUACGCUUAGGAUGUUGAUGUGAUACUGCGAGC
rnacentral:rRNA from 1 species